GCGCGCUUGACGCGUGACAGCGAGACCGUUACCUGAGCGAGCGGCGCGUGCGGAGCAUCCUGAGGUCACCCGGCUCGCGCGCGUAGGGAGAUGAACCUGGAGCGGCUGAGGAAGCGGGUCCGGCAGUACAUAGAUCAGCAACAGUAUCAAAGUGCCUUGUUUUGGGCAGACAAAGUUGCUUCACUGUCUCAUGAGGAACCUCAGGACAUCUAUUGGCUGGCCCAAUGUCUCUACCUGACAGCUCAGUAUCAUAGGGCAGCACAUGCCCUUCGAUCACGCAAGCUAGAUAAGUUGUAUGAAGCAUGUCGAUACCUUGCUGCUAGAUGUCAUUAUGCUGCAAAAGAGCAUCAGCAGGCUCUUGAUAUUCUUGACAUGGAAGAGCCAAUCAACAAAAGACUAUUUGAAAAAUACUUGAAGGAUGAAAGUGGGUUGAAAGACUCUACCAGUGACUGGGAGAUGUCACAGUCUUCUAUCAAGAGUUCUAUUUGCCUUUUGCGAGGAAAGAUCUAUGAUGCUCUGGAUAAUAGAACCCUGGCAACGUACAGCUACAAAGAAGCCUUGAAGCUUGAUGUUUACUGCUUUGAAGCAUUUGACUUUUUAACAUCACACCAUAUGCUAACAGCACAAGAAGAAAAAGAGCUUCUUGAAUCUCUACCUCUUGGUAAACAGUGUACAGAAGAAGAACAAGAAUUGCUUCAUUUUCUGUUUGAGAACAAACUGAAAAAGUAUAAUAAGCCAAGUGAAACAAUAAUUCCUGAAUCUGUAGAUGGUCUUCAGGACAAUCUGGAUGUAGUAGUGUCCUUAGCUGAAAGGCAUUAUUAUAACUGUGACUUCAAAAUGUGCUACAAGCUUACUUCUGUAGUAAUGGAAAAAGAUCCUUUCCAUGCCAAUUGUUUACCUGUGCACAUAGGGACACUCGUGGAGCUGAAUAAAGCAAAUGAGCUAUUCUAUCUUUCUCAUAAAUUGGUGGAUUUGUACCCAAAUAAUCCUGUCUCAUGGUUUGCGGUAGGAUGCUAUUAUCUCAUGGUCGGUCACAAAAAUGAACAUGCCAGAAGAUAUCUCAGCAAAGCCACUACACUUGAGAGAACCUACGGACCAGCUUGGAUAGCAUAUGGACAUUCGUUUGCAGUUGAGAGUGAGCAUGACCAGGCAAUGGCUGCUUACUUCACAGCAGCACAGCUGAUGAAAGGCUGUCAUUUGCCGAUGCUCUAUAUUGGACUAGAAUAUGGUUUGACCAACAAUUCAAAAUUAGCUGAAAGAUUUUUCAGCCAAGCCCUAAGCAUUGCACCUGAGGAUCCUUUUGUUAUGCAUGAAGUUGGAGUGGUUGCAUUUCAAAAUGGAGAUUGGAAAACUGCAGAAAAGUGGUUCCUUGAUGCUUUAGAGAAAAUUAAAGCUAUUGGAAAUGAGGUAACAGUUGAUAAAUGGGAGCCUUUAUUGAACAACUUAGGACAUGUGUGCAGAAAGCUCAAAGGAAUUUCUCUCUCAGGCGUGCCCAGCUCACCUGGCUUUAAACGCUGCCUGACUUGCAGACUUUCCAUACUGGUCUCUGAUGGCCACGCACAGUGUUUCAGCUGCCUCGGAGAGGCACACAUUACCCAAAAGUGUCCACACUGCAGAAAAUUGACUGGGACAGGACAAGGAAGGCUAGGGAUCUCCAAUUGAAGCUCCUGAUGAUGGAGAAAUCCCUCAGACCAGCGUCCGACCCCAAGUCCAGGACACCUCCUGGUCGCCAGUGGCAGCGUCUGACAGGGGAUCUACUUCAACAACGGCUGCUACGGAGCCUGCUCCUAGAAAAGCUACCAAAAAGUGGUCACACUCAUCCCCACAGUGUGAAUCACCUAAAAGAAAGUGAUCUCCAAAUGAAAAAUCUGUCCUGGUACCACUGGCACCAAGAGCGCCAGACCAUGAGGCACCGGGAACAUCCGUACUGAAACAUCCUGAGGAGCUAAAGAUCCUAUGUGGGAAAGCUCUAAUGGAGGUGCACACAGUAAAGCCAAACCUCCCAGCUCAGCACCUACGGAGCUGAAGAAAACCUCGGCACCAAGCAGUACAAUGUCGCCAUCUGUCGUGUUCCUAUUCAGCACAGCUCCAAGUCAUUGGCACUGACAGCUUUUACCCUAAUUCCCGAUCAGUGCAUGGUGCCGUCCCUGGCACCAAGCCUUAUGGUUCCGCAGCAGUUCAUGAGGCAUGCAGACCUGAUAGUGGCCUCAACACCUGGAAUUCCCCUACUCAGUACCGACGGUACCUCAGCAAGACCAGAACCAAGCCUGGUAACCACUCCCUGUGAAUCAGACCCUCCCUUCUCCAGUGUUGAGGAAGAAGAGGAUGAGACAGUAAUAUACACUCCGUAUCACUCCUCCCCUAAACCUGGACCCUCUCAGCACCAAACAUCUACAUACAUGUGAGGCUGAUAUGGUCAACCAUGGGCACCGCCACAUAUACCCUUCCCACCCAACUGGCCAUAUUGGGAUCCAUGGGCAAUGUAUAGGGCAGAGAACCUUAGGCCCCCUAACCCACUGAGGUCCAAAACAACUCUGUCCCCUUCACCAACUGUCCCAACACCCUCAGAGACACAAGAGGAAGAGAUAGAGGAGCCUGAUGACACACCUGAAGGUGACACCCUGCUGCCCACCCACAUAUCGUCUUUGUCGCCAGACAAAACGAUAAUGCCACUCCCCCCACACGCUAGGGGGGAUGAUUUCAAAUCUUUUCAAGACCUCUUCAAAAGUGUAGCUGAAUCUCUGGACAUUUCAUUAGCUGAGCUACAAGAGACCCAACACAAGCUCACAGACGUAUUCCAGACAUCCCGAGCAGCAAAGAUAGCACUGCCAAUUAAUGAUGCCAUUAUGGACCCUGCAAAAAUAAUCUGGCACACACCCGCCACAGCCGCUCCCUCCUGUAAGAGGUCUCAAAAUAAAUAUUAUGUGCCAGCAAAAGGGGCUGAGUUUCUAUUUACCCACCCUGUACCAAACUCGCGGGUGGUGGAUGCGGUAAAUCAAAGGAGGAAAACAACACCAGUCCAGAACGACCCCAUAUAAUAAGGACUGGAAAAGGCUAGACCUCUUCGGACAGAAAGCCCACUCCUGUGCCACACUCUACUUCCAUGUAGCCAAUUAUUCAGCCCUACUGGCAAAAUACAACCAUCCACCUCCAGACAAUCAUUUUGAAGGUGUGGUCGAGGGUACAAGACAUCCACACUCUCUGAUUCCAAAACCAGAUCCGGUCCCCAGCCCAUACGGAGACCAUCGGGUAAUAUGGUGACAGUCUGGAACUGUCAGACAACAGACAAAUGGCUUCUGGAGAUUAUUCAGAAGGGCUACUCCAUCCCCUUUAUUUCUAUCCCACCUACUCACUGCUCUCCCCCAUUCAUCUUCAGGGAACUCUCUCAUGAGCACCUGUUACAACAGGAAAUAAACCACCUCAUACAAUUAGGUGCCGUGGAACCUGUACCAUCUCAACAUGGGGAGAGGUUUUUAUUCCCAUUAUUUUCUUACUCAGAAAAAGAAUGGCCGGCAGAGACCCAUCCUGGAUUUAUGAAAAGUCAACAAAUUUUUGAGAAUGCAAUGUUUCAAAACAGUGACUAUAUCCACAAUAAUUCUGGCAGUAGAGAAAGGAGAUUGGCUCUCAGCCCUCAACUUCCAGGAUGCUUAUUUUCAUAUUACCAUAUGCAGCACACAGAAGAUUCCUGAGAUUCACCCUAGGGAAUCAGUAUUUACAAUACAGAGUGCUACCCUUUGGCCUGUCAACUGCCUUAAGAGGUUUUUUCCCAAGGUUCUCACGGUCAUUGCAACUCACCUCCGCAUGCAUUUUUCCAUGCUUAGAUGACUACUUCGUAAGGACACCAAUGCAGCAAGGAGUGAUAAACGCCACACAUACCACGAUAACCCUUUACAUGGACGUUGGGUUACAGAUAAAUGUACAGAAGUCCACCUUGGUCCCUGUCCAACAGUUGGAAUUUAUAGGACCCUACCUCUACUGCCUCACAGCAACAGCAAUGUUACUCCAACAACGCUUCCCCACUCUAGUCAACCUAAUUUCAACAGAUGGACAGCCCACAAACAUCUGCCAGAAUGUGUUUACAACUGUUGGGGCACAUGUCGGCAACAACGUUUGUCUUAAAAUAUGCCAGGCUCCACAUGAGUUUCUUACAGGCCUGGCUUCGAACAGUGUAUAUACCACACAGACAUUCUCUCAACUGAUGCCUCAUGAUGCCCCUCAUGGUAAAAGAAACGCUAACAUGGUGGACACAACCACAGAACAUCUGCUAGGUGUUCCUUUCCAACAAAAAGUUCCAACCAUGACAAUCACGACGGAUGCCUCUCUAGUUGGUUGGGGGGCACAUUUAUGCGACAAUACGGUCUAGGGCUGCUGGUCUCCAGCAGAGUCUAACUUGCACAUAAACUUACUGGAGCUAAGGGCAGUCCGAAACGCAUGCAAGCACUUUCUCCCUUUAAUCAGGAACAAUGCCAUCAAGAUCCUUAUGGACAAUAUUGCAUGCAUGUUCUAUAUAAAUCGCCAAGGGGGAGCAUGAUCAUACCCCCUAUGUGCAGAGGCAGUACAUCUCUGGAAUUGGUGCAUCACCAACAACAUAGAGAUUUCGGCAUCCUGUUUGCCGGGAUGUCAGAACACAACAGUGGACCACCUAAGCAGUGACUUCUCACAAACACACAAGUGGGAGAUGGAUCCUGGAAUUCUCAAAGCCAUAUUCAAACUAUGGGGAUUCCCCACUAUAGACCUAUUUGCAACAGCUCAGGACUUCAAGUGCGCACAAUAUUGAUCCCGGGCCGGAUUGGGACACCACUCCCUGGGCAAUACUCUCCUCGUAAAAUGGGAAGCCCCACUGUUGUAUGCAUUUCUUGCGAUCCCAGUCCGAUCCGAGUCAUUCACAAGAUCACGCAGGACAAAUCCAGGGUCAUUUUCAUUGCACCCACAUGGCCCAGACAAACAUGGUUCCCAUUCCUGUGACAGAUGCCAGUUAAAUCACCUCAAACCCUUCCCUUAGUUCCUCACCUUCUGUCACAGGACAUGGGGCGUGUCCAUCACCCCAACCUCACAGUACUCCACCUCAAGGCCUGAUUAUUCCAUGGCUGAUGGGGGGUAAAGAAGGACUGUUCUGAAGAAGUGAAAGAUAUACUGCUGAACAGUCGCAGACUAAGCACAAGAAGGAUAGAUAGACAGAUAGAUACACAUAAGUGGAAAUGAUUCUGCACUCGUUGCCAGGACAAACAGAUCUUUCCACAAUCAGCCCCACAACUUAGAAUCCUCGACUAUAUACUGGGCCUUAAAAAAUCUGGGCUAUCCACCUGCUCCGUCAGAGUACAUCUGGCUGCCAUCACCUCCUUCCACGACAAGGUGGAUGGAGUCACUAUCUUUGCUCACCUGAUGACUAAACGCUUCCUUAAGGGCAUAGAAAACACUUACCCCACACUAAGAAACCCUACUCCCAUGUGGGACCUCAACCUUGUUCUACACGGUCUCAUGGGAAAACUGUUUGAACCCCUUGCAACUUUCUCUGUGUUAUACUUAUCAAUGAAGGUUGCUUUCCUCAUUGCCAUCACGUCAGCAAGAAAGGUGGGAGAAUUAGUUGCCCUAAUGGCAGACUCACCUUAUACGACAUUCUUUAAGGAUAAAGUAAUCCUAUGACCGCACCCCAAGUUCAUCCCCAAGGUUGCCUCCCCUUUUCAUUUAAAUCAUGCCAUAUACUUACCUGUAUUUUUCCCGAAGCUCCAUACCGACAGCAGGGAGGCCUCACUCCACAUGCUAGACAUCCACAGAGCACUAGCUUUCUACAUAGAAAGAACAAAAGCAUUCAGAAAAUCAUCUCAACUGUCAGUUUCCAUAAGAGAACAUUCGAAGGGCCAAACCAUCUCAAAACAAAGACUAUCCAAAUGGAUAUCUGGGUGUAUCCAUUUGUGCUAUCAAAACAGCAACCUGCAACCUCCACCGAGAGUUCGCACACACCCCAUCAGAGCAUUAUCAACAUCUAUGGCCUUUCUCAAUAAUGAAAUAUGAAGAAGCAUUAGAAUACCAUCGUCAGGCCCUAGUAUUGAUUCCUCAGAAUGCUUCCACAUAUUCUGCCAUUGGAUACAUACACAGUCUAAUGGGCAAUUUUGAAAGUGCAAUUGACUAUUUUCAUACGG